rnacentral:rRNA from 1 species
AACCCUAAAUACUCUCUAGUGACCGAUAGUGAACCAGUACCGUGAGGGAAAGGUGAAAAGCACCCCGGGAGGGGAGUGAAAUAGAACCUGAAACCGUGUGCCUACAACAAGUUCGAGCCCGUUAAUGGGUGAGAGCGUGCCUUUUGUAGAAUGAACCGGCGAGUUACGAUAUGAUGCGAGGUUAAGUUGAAGAGACGGAGCCGUAGGGAAACCGAGUCUUAAUAGGGCGCAUUAGUAUCAUGUCGUAGACCCGAAACCAUGUGACCUACCCAUGAGCAGGGUGAAGGUGAGGUAAAACUCACUGGAGGCCCGAACCAGGGCACGUUGAAAAGUGCUUGGAUGACUUGUGGGUAGCGGAGAAAUUCCAAACGAACUUGGAGAUAGCUGGUUCUCUCCGAAAUAGCUUUAGGGCUAGCGUCGAUGUUAAGUCUCUUGGAGGUAGAGCACUGUUUGAUUGAGGGGUCCAUCCCGGAUUACCAAUAUCAGAUAAACUCCGAAUGCCAAUGAGAUAUAAUCGGCAGUCAGACUGCGAGUGCUAAGAUCCGUAGUCGAAAGGGAAACAGCCCAGACCACCAGCUAAGGUCCCAAAAUAUAUGUUAAGUGGAAAAGGAUGUGGGGUUGCACAGACAACUAGGAUGUUAGCUUAGAAGCAGCUAUUCAUUCAAAGAGUGCGUAAUAGCUCACUAGUCGAGUGACCCUGCGCCGAAAAUGUACCGGGGCUAAAACAUAUUACCGAAGCUGUGGAUACCUUUUAGGUAUGGUAGGAGAGCGUUCUAUGUGUGAAGAAGGUGUACCGUGAGGAGCGCUGGAACGCAUAGAAGUGAGAAUGCCGGUAUGAGUAGCGAAAGACAGGUGAGAAUCCUGUCCACCGUAAGACUAAGGUUUCCAGGGGAAGGCUCGUCCGCCCUGGGUUAGUCGGGACCUAAGGAGAGACCGAAAGGUGUAUCCGAUGGACAACAGGUUGAUAUUCCUGUACUAGAGUAUAUAGUGAUGGAGGGACGCAGUAGGCUAACUAAAGCGUGCGAUUGGAAGUGCACGUCUAAGCAGUGAGGUGUGAUAUGAGUCAAAUGCUUAUAUCUCUAACAUUGAGCUGUGAUGGGGAGCGAAGUUAAGUAGCGAAGUUAGUGAUGUCACACUGCCAAGAAAAGCUUCUAGCGUUAAUUAUACUCUACCCGUACCGCAAACCGACACAGGUAGUCGAGGCGAGUAGCCUCAGGUGAGCGAGAGAACUCUCGUUAAGGAACUCGGCAAAAUGGCCCCGUAACUUCGGGAGAAGGGGCGCUGGCUUUAAGUCAGCCGCAGUGAAUAGGCCCAAGCAACUGUUUAUCAAAAACACAGCUCUCUGCUAAAUCGUAAGAUGAUGUAUAGGGGGUGACGCCUGCCCGGUGCUGGAAGGUUAAGAGGAGCGCUUAGCAUUAGCGAAGGUGUGAAUUGAAGCCCCAGUAAACGGCGGCCGUAACUAUAACGGUCCUAAGGUAGCGAAAUUCCUUGUCGGGUAAGUUCCG